GACGAACGCUGGCGGCGUGCCUAAUACAUGCAAGUAGAACGCUGAAGAGAGGAGCUUGCUCUUCUUGGAUGAGUUGCGAACGGGUGAGUAACGCGUAGGUAACCUGCCUUGUAGCGGGGGAUAACUAUUGGAAACGAUAGCUAAUACCGCAUAACAAUGGAUGACCCAUGUCCUUUAUUUGAAAGGGGCAAAUGCUCCACUACAAGAUGGACCUGCGUUGUAUUAGCUAGUAGGUGAGGUAACGGCUCACCUAGGCGACGAUACAUAGCCGACCUGAGAGGGUGAUCGGCCACACUGGGACUGAGACACGGCCCAGACUCCUACGGGAGGCAGCAGUAGGGAAUCUUCGGCAAUGGGGGCAACCCUGACCGAGCAACGCCGCGUGAGUGAAGAAGGUUUUCGGAUCGUAAAGCUCUGUUGUAAGUCAAGAACGAGUGUGAGAGUGGAAAGUUCACACUGUGACGGUAGCUUACCAGAAAGGGACGGCUAACUACGUG
rnacentral:rRNA from 1 species